UACGUUGGUGGCAAGCGUUGUCCGGAUUUAUUGGGUUUAAAGGGUGCGUAGGCGGUUCCAUAAGUCAGUGGUGAAAUACGGCAGCUCAACUGUCGAGGUGCCAUUGAUACUGCGGAACUUGAGUACUGAUGAGGUAGGCGGAAUUGACGGUGUAGCGGUGAAAUGCUUAGAUAUCGUCAAGAACACCGAUAGCGAAGGCAGCUUACCAAGCAGUAACUGACGCUGAGGCACGAAAGUGCGGGGAUCAAACAGG
rnacentral:rRNA from 1 species